AUUGAACGCUGGCGGCAGGCUUAACACAUGCAAGUCGAGCGGGGUGAUGGUGCUUGCACUAUCACUUAGCGGCGGACGGGUGAGUAAUGCUUAGGAAUCUGCCUAUUAGUGGGGGACAACAUCUCGAAAGGGAUGCUAAUACCGCAUACGUCCUACGGGAGAAAGCAGGGGAUCACUUGUGACCUUGCGCUAAUAGAUGAGCCUAAGUCGGACUAGCUAGUUGGUGGGGUAAAGGCCUACCAAGGCGACGAUCUGUAGCGGGGCUGAGAGGAUGAUCCGCCACACUGGGACUGGGACACGGCCCAGACUCCUACGGGAGGCAGCAGUGGGGAAUAUUGGACAAUGGGGGGAACCCUGAUCCAGCCAUGCCGCGUGUGUGAAGAAGGCCUUAUGGUUGUAAAGCACUUUAAGCGAGGAGGAGGCUCUUUUGGUUAAUACCCAAGAUGAGUGGACGUUACUCGCAGAAUAAGCACCGGCUAACUCUGUGCCAGCCGCCGCGGUAA
rnacentral:rRNA from 1 species